GCUUAAUAAACAAUACAAAAAUACAGUUUAUAAAAUACUUGUAGAUAAACAAUGCAAAAUACAAAACAAAAUUCAAAUAUGAACAGACGAUGACAAUAAAAAAAUAAGAUGAAAACAACAAUUAUUCAGUUGUUCCUCGUAGCUAGAUUGAGGGCGCUUUUAUUAUAUACCAGUUACAAUUCCCAAAUAGACUCUUCACAUCAUUAAACAUCACUUAAAUAAAAAUCGUAAAGAUAUUUGAAUUUUUUUAUCAAAAUUUUUAGAAAUAAAUAUAUUU
rnacentral:lncRNA from 1 species